CAGUUUAUUGAGAGUUAGAUGUAAAAUGUGUCAUUACCCUGUAAUGCAUGCAUGAUAAAGCCUUUUAAGAUUUGGGCGCAUAUCAAGGAGAGGCAGAGUUUCUCCAAAUAUACUGAAACUUCGAUAUCUUAGUUGGUAAUUUAUAAAUCAACAUUAAAGACAACAUGGGAGAAUGUUUACGUAUAGGUAAACAUUCUCCUAUGAAUAUCGUCGUAAUGUGUCAUGAUUCGAUGUUUUCAAAAUGGGUUUAAUUUUUAAAUAUCUCAAAUGGGUGUGCACAUAGUUGAUAAUUGCGUGAGCGGGGUUGCGAUCCCUCGCCUGCCAGCCUCGGUGUAGGGGCAGGUCGUUCCGUUGCAUAGAACCGAUCGCUUUGAAAACAACCAACUCAGCGUGAUAAAAGCCACUUCUAAGCAUACUGAGAAGAAGAACAUUUGUAUGUAUAAAAACGCGAUCCGUACACACCUGUUUUGCAGGACAUCCAUCUGGAUGCAGUAUCGACCGAAUAUAGCCCUUAGUGGACGAACGCCAGAUUUCGCUGAUGACGAGAAAGACCUGCCUAAGAAGAGCAGAACUUCUCUUGUUUAAUUUAGACUCGGAUGGUGAAGCAAACUUAACUCGUUUCGGUCGAAGUUAGGCAAUAAUUUCCCUGAUAUCUGCGCUGUAUGCAUUACGGUAGAAACUAACUGAUCUUACUGGUUAUCGUCCCAAAAGAAGGGUCAAGAUUUCUGGAACUAGAUCUGGGUCAGGUCAAUCGCCGCGAGAACAUUGCUUAUUUAAACAUUGAUCAUUUAAAGGCGCCAAUAGCUCACCUUGCCGGUGCGUCCAGGCCUCUCAAUAUGCCCAAACUGUUAUAGCUAUCACGUACCGGGCCUCUCAAAGAAAUGAAAUCCUGCCAGUGCUGCACAUACAUUUACAUAAGAUGUACUAUAGUCUAUAUAAGUUGCAUAUAAUACCAUUUUGAUCAUUUCAUGUCCUAAGAGAUACAUUUUGAUGAGUAUCUUAAAUGCAAGCCCCUUUUUUCGUUAAAACCUGCCAAGUGGCUUUUAUUCGCCUUGAAGCAUGUUGGUUUGGGUUUGAACCACUGUAAUACAUAUUGCGCUUGCAGUUGUUAUGAAGUUUUGUGUGGAAAUUUGUUACGAAUGCUCGUUGAAAGAAUAACAAACAAAAACAAUAUUCGCUAAGGGAAGUGAAUAUCAGCUGGUUUUUAAAAGACUUUUCAGCUGUUCACAACAGAUAUACCACCCACAGACAACUUAUGAACUAGUGCUCUGUCACAUAUGAAAUUGACCCCCAGCUGCUAAUGACAGUCGCAGAACACUGACACCACCACCACUGCUCACUGCUGACUGCCAUCCACCAUCAACCAUCCACCAACCCCAUCCCCAUAUCCAUCGAUAUCAUAUGACACUCAGAUGGAGAAUGUACAACAACGAAUACCAAAAUGAACACAGAGUAAGGCUGAUACAACAACUACAAAGACGCAUAUAAAAACCCUCAAACGAAAAGAAUCGAAAUAGUCUAAAGAAAGAUAUAAACGGGAUGUAAAAAAGUGAAAAAUUUUCUUCGUUACGACUGCUACAUGGGUGUGUGCUGGAAAAAAAAAAAAACAAAGUAGAACGUUAUAUUACAUAAAAAAAAAUUGAUGGAAAUGAAAUUUCACUAAAUUUCACCCGACAAUAUACAGACUAGAUGCAUCUUCGUUUCAGUAACACUCAAUAUCAGAAUGGGUGUGAUACAGAUGGACAGCAAUCAUCCAAAGAUACAAUGCAAUUAAUCAAGCAGCCUCUGACCAUUGUCGCGGUGGGAGGUCUACAGCAGCAACAGACAUUUACCUCGAAAAGGAUAAAACGGUUAUUUCUGUGGUCCAUACUGCUUAUACAGUUCGGAUUUAUUUUGUGUUUUUGGCUACUGCAGUUAGGUUUGAGUGACAGUCUUAAAGAAAGUACAGGACGAGCGGCUGCAAAACACUUAGAACCUAGUCGUAUUAAUUUUAUCAAGUCUCCAGAGUCCAAAAAAGAUGUUGGAGAAAAAACCAAUGGUGAGACAGUUGGAAAAACACAGGACAGUCGAAAUUUUCAAUGGCCUUCGAGGGAUUUAAAAUUUCAACAAGAUUUCGAGCUGCAACAGAUAGCGUACAAUCUUACCGACGCCGAAAAAGUCAUGUUCGGCGAGCCAUCUACUUGGUGUUUCAAGGAAGGUACUACCAAAGAAACAAGGCCGCAACGAGACGACGAUCCUGGCAUUUGGCCAGAUGUUUGUGAUUGUCUGCCCGAUUGGCACGGGCAGGAUUGUGGCCAACCAGAAAUAAUUUGGCGAGCUUUGAUGACUGCCAAAAUGCCUUUUAAAUUACAAAAUCCCGCACAAGACGAAUCCCACCGUUUGGUCUACAUGAUUGAAGGCCCAUUUUUUAGUAUGGACCUGAUGGAAUUGCAGAUACAAGCCGUCAUGACGGUUGUGGACUAUUUUAUAAUUUACUACAAACGUAAUCCUGUAAAUAUGAAGGAGCUGAAAAUUCUGAAGUAUAGACUGAGACAAAACUUACCCAAUCACAAUUAUAUGAUAUACCAUUGCAAGUUAGUGGCGCUCACAAAUUGUUCCUCGGCCGAAGUGUAUCGUUUAUUUCGCCAACACCAACUUCCAAGCAAUGCCAUAAAGCCCACCGACCUAUUCAUUUACAGCGAUGAUAAAACCAUACUGGGCCACAGGGCUUUGAAUUUCUUAAAAUACUACAGUUUCAAUAUGCCAUUGAUUGAAUUUCGUGCGAAAUUUAUAGUCUACGGUUUUUACUGGCAACAUCCAGAUCUUACCAAGUUGCAAGGAUCGAUAAGCUCCUUUCAGCUCAUCGAUAACUCCAACUCAGAUCCCUCACAAUUGCGGCGCAAUCAUGCGUCCAAUAACGCAGCAUCUCGACAAACUCUGGUGAUGGGUGAUCUCAAUCAUUUCGGUGGUUGGUUUUGUAAAUACUGCCAGCAGCCGGAUGAAAUUAUCAAUGAAUUGCAAUUGCUGCAAAGUUCGCUGUCUAAUACCAACGCGACAACAACCAAGUCAAUUCACCAAAAUGCCAUAGCAUUUCCGACUGAUAAGAAACAUUCAUUGCACAUUGAUGUCAACUACAUACAGCAGCUGAUAUCAACGGGAGUCUACUUGAACGAUGGUAAAACGAAGUUACUCAAAGUUCGCCGUUUUACGGAUAAAUACUUUGCACCAGUCUAUGCCUCACAACAAAGUUGGAAAUAUGGUCACUUAUUGGUAAAUAUUUAUGAAUCUCUCGAAGACUUGCUAGCCGAUGACAAUGAAGAUGAAAUGUUUUAGAGUAUUGUUUUUGUUUUUUGUGUAUAAGUCAAUAUCUAUAAAAUAUUGGAACAAAACUUUUAGUGUAAAUAGAAGAAAAUACAAAGCAAAUGACAAGCGUUGUGGCUUUAGAUGGGCACAUAAACCACUCAAACCAUUGUCUAACAUAAAAUUUAUACUUUAACAAAACAUUAUUCUUUUUUAGCUCUACCGUUCCAUUCUCUCUUCAUGUCUUCAUUGAGAUAAGAGUCAACUAAGCCAAUCUAUCUUUUCACCUAUUCUGACCAACGUUGGUUGGGGGUCAUAUUAGUACUACAUGUAACAAAUUUGGGAGAGAUUUUGGUGGUCCAAGAGAACUUCAUAUCGUAAAUAUGUGAGAAAUAGGAAAUUUUUUAAGGCUUUAGGAGCUUUAAAAGGCUUAUUUCAAAAUAUUCAUUAAAGGAAUGCAAUGUUUUAUUUCCAGGUAAUACAAUUGAUAUGGCAAGAUGAGUACUUCAUUAUCCUAUGAUUGUGGGGCACAAUACACUUAACCCUCUUUAGACUACUAGGCCUUCCUGUGAUGCAAUCGCUUUAAAAUUUUUCAUGUAAAUCUGCUAUUACAUGGUAUGUAGUUGUCCUAUGACAUGCUACUUUUUGUAUUCACAUGUAAUUUAAAAUGUUUGUCAAAAUAGUCAAUAAUUUUUGCUAUCACACCUGUGGGCUAUUUUCGUAUGACAUCACAUAAAAAUGUGAGCAAAUCUAAUUUUUUAUGCGAAAAAAUUGUUAAAGUUGCGAGAAAGGUGGUUAAAUCAUAAAUUUGUAAAAACAAUUUAAUUUGGUGUUGCGUACAUUCGACUGACAACAAAAACAACUGAUUUCUUUAUAUAUUUGUCAAAAGGCACGCUAUAAACCAAAAAAUUACAUGUGCUAUUUUGAAAAGUGAUUUUCAUAUGUUAGUUGCAUUUGUAUCACACGUCAUGCACAAUUCUAAAUGUCCUAAAUUUAACAUGUCAUAAGAAAUCUCCUACUUACCGUGUAAGAGUUGGUAUUCUAUUCUGCUUUCGGAAUAGUUCCGAAUAGCAAUCAAAUUUUUUUGGUUCCAUACCAAAACACAUUUCUAUACCCUACACCACCACUGUGGUACAGAAAAUUAUAACUUGUGUAUUUGUUUGCAGCGCUAAGAAAGAGGAGACCUGGACACAUCGAUAGUUAUACCGAUUAGCUUAGAAUCACUUCCUGAUUAGAUAUAGCUAUUGGGUUGCCCAAAAAGUAAUUGUCGGUAAUAUAGUAGUAAUAUAGUUGGCGUUGACAAUUUUUUUCAACGGCUUGUGACUCUGUAAUUGCAUUCUUUCUUCUGUCAGUUAUCAGCUGUUACUUUUAGCUUGUUUAGAAAAAAAGUGCGCGAAAUUUUGUUUACAUUUGUUUGUUUGGCGUUAAUUUUAAUAUGGGUACCACAUGUAUUGAAAUAAAUUCAUUUAACAAACCGAAUCAACGCUUGUGAUAUGCACCUUAAACGCAAUGAAUUCGAUCCGUUUUUAAAACGAAUCGUAACUGGAGAUGAAAAAUGGAUUGUUUACAACAACGUUAGUCGAAAACGAUCAUGGUCCAAGCAUGGUGAACCAGCUCAAACCACUUCAAAGGCUGAUAUCCACCAAAAGAAGGUUAUGCUGUCUGUUUGGUGGGAUUGGAAGGGUGUGGUAUAUUUUGAGCUGCUUCCAAGGAACCAAACGAUUAAUUCGGAUAUUUACUGUCAACAAUUGGACAAAUUGAAUACAGCCAUCAAGGAGAAGCGACCAGAAUUGGUCAAUCGUAAAGGUGUCAUAUUCCACCAGGACAACGCUAGACCGCACACAUCUUUGGUCACUCGGCAAAAACUGAGUGAGCUUGGCUGGGAAAUUUGAUGAAUCCACCAUAUAGCCCUGACCUUGCACCAUCAAACUACCAUUUAUUUCGAUCUUUGCAGAACUCCUUAAAUGGUAAAACUUUCGGCAAUGAUGAGGCUAUAAAAUCGCACUUGGUUCAGUUUUUUGCAGAUAAAGGCCAGAAGUUCUACGAGCGUGGAAUACUAAAUUUGCCAGGAAGAUGGCAAAAGGUUAUCGAACAAAAUGGCAAUUAUAUAUUUGAUUAAAGUUCAUUCUAAGUUUUAUUAAAAAUGCAUUUACUUUCUUUUAAAAAAUCCGCAAUUACUUUUUAGGCAACCCAAUAUGUUUAGUUCGAUUUAGUUAUUACUAUACUGUCAAUACAUAUGUACAUGUAAAUGUCUAAAAUGGGUCGAGAAGGUUGUAAAACGCGAUCAACCAACAUGCAGUUAUUGUAGUUUUUCGAACCAAGUAGGUCCGUGGACCUCCGCGAGCAAUUUUAGUAUAUUUUUGUUUUUCACAACAACAAACAAUUCCAAAUUGUAAAAUAUGUUUUGCGAAACUUUUUCUCUUCAAAGCUAAAUACAACCACCACGAAAAAAUUUAAGUUUUCAAAUUCCAAGUAGCCAUAACCGUUUGACCACCACACCUUCCACAGAGCACCUUAAAGGAGAUCCGUGAUGGUGGAGCGAAAGCGACAGCUAUACGCAAAGAUAACGUCAUAAGCAUACACAGAAAAAAACAAAAAUCGGUUUCGAUCACAAAAUUAAUUAAUACGAUUAAUUUUUAAAUUGAAACUGCUUCAAUCAAGAAAACGAUAAUAUCAAUCAAAGUUUUUAAAAAAAAUUAUUGAAAAAAUUUAAACAUUUUCAAUUAUUUUUUUAAUUGAUCUAAUUACAAAAUGAUUACAAUUUUCGAAAUAUCCAAUAAAGUUUUUAAUUAGAUCAAUUACAAAUUUUAAUUGAAAUAUUCAAAUGUUAUAUUAAUUUUUUUGCGAAAAUCGCUGUAUAGGACGCUCCCUCGAUUUCAAUGCAAAAUGGUUCACAUAUGUAAAACUCCUGGAACACGAAUUUAAGGUUUAUGUUUGGGUCCAUGAUCACUCCUUAGAAACAAAACACUUUCGGGGGUUUUUCCAAAAAUGAAACGGAAAAUAUUGUUUUCCGAAUUAUUAAAGGAAGAGUAGGAAGACAGUAUGCUAAAGGCAUCGAUUUUAAAGAAGCCGGUAUGCAUUUAGGGUAGUCGUAGGACGGUUUGUGGGGAAGAGUUAUCUUCUACAUAUAAAGAGUAUUUAUCAAAAUUUUGAGCGGCUAGAUGUUUUCAAAAGCGGAAGGCUAUGUUGGGUCUAAAAAAGUUUCCGAUUCUAUUAAAAAAUUAUAGAAAGAAUUUACUGGCUAGUUGUAUGGUUAUUUUUUCUUUUUGACACUCGAUUUGUUCGCCAGUUCAAUGAAGACUGCUGUUUUCCUUCUAUAAAAUCAGCUGUUUUUAUUAAAUUGGCGAACAAUUUGAGUGACAAAAAAGUUUGUCUGUUUAAUUAAAAAAGAUUCAAUUUCCAAUCACUUUUUAUACAUAUAAUUGUUUAAUUAAUACACUAAUUUUUUUUAUUUAAAUUUUAAACAUUUCAAUUACGAUUGCAAUAAAAAAAAAUUCACAUUCAAUUAAAAAAAAUUAUUGAAUCAAUUAAUUUUUUAACUGAUUCAAUAUCAAAAAUUUCAAUCACGAUCGUAAUUGAAAAAAGUUCGGAUUCAAUUAAAAAAAUAAUUGAAAAUUUGAAAAACUUGAUAUUGAUAUUUAGGAAGUUUUAAAUUAAAAAAAAAUUAUUGAAUCAAUAAUUUUUUUAAUUGAAUUGGAACUUUUUUUCAAUUGCGAUCGCGAUGGAAGCAUUUGUCAUUUUCAUUUAAAAAAUCAAUUGAUUCAAUAAUUUUUUUUAAAUAACUGUUUUUCAAUUACGAUCGUGAUUGAAAUUUGGGAAAUUU